UACGUAGGGUGCGAGCGUUGUCCGGAAUUAUUGGGCGUAAAGAGCUCGUAGGCGGUUUGUUGCGUCGGCUGUGAAAACCUACAGCUUAACUGUGGGCCUGUAGUCGAUACGGGCAGACUUGAGUUCGGCAGGGGAGACUGGAAUUCCUGGUGUAGCGGUGAAAUGCGCAGAUAUCAGGAGGAACACCGGUGGCGAAGGCGGGUCUCUGGGCAGUAACUGACGCUGAGGAGCGAAAGCGUGGGGAGCGAACAGG
rnacentral:rRNA from 1 species